rnacentral:rRNA from 1 species
UACGGAGGGUGCGAGCGUUACUCGGAAUUACUGGGCGUAAAGCGUGCGUAGGUGGUUCGUUAAGUCUGAUGUGAAAGCCCUGGGCUCAACCUGGGAAUGGCAUUGGAUACUGGCGAUCUAGAGUGCGGUAGAGGGCAGUGGAAUUCCCGGUGUAGCAGUGAAAUGCGUAGAGAUCGGGAGGAACAUCUGUGGCGAAGGCGACUGCCUGGACCAGCACUGACACUGAGGCACGAAAGCGUGGGGAGCAAACAGG